GAUUUAUAAAGAAGAGGCGAGAGACAGGCUCCGCGACCCUCGGCAACCUCAACAAAGUGUUGAAAGGUGCUAAUUCCUGCCCGACAAGGGACAUAUAAAUU
rnacentral:ncRNA from 22 species